rnacentral:snRNA from 1 species
ACUGCUCUAAAAGUAUUCAGUUCAUGAUACAGAGAAGAUUAGCAUGGCCCCUAUGCAAGAAUGACAUGCAAAUUUGUGAAUCGUUCCAUAUUUUU